UGAGUUUAUGUUUUUCAAUUUAGCUGUUCUUCAUUAUUAAACCCACUUAAGUCUGAUUGCGUGAAACUGCUGUUAACUGCCCUUUCCAACGAUUUAGGGAAAGCUGCUAGGAUUCAUACCUUCAUUGCCAUUCCAAAAUGGAAAAAAAUCCCCCACUGAACUGGGAUUAGGAAUUCUAUUUAAUAGAAACUAUGGCAGCUGGCUGGAUCCCAGGGGAAGGAAUUCCACUUGUUACUUCAGAGAGAUGAUGGUAGGUUUGACCAGCUUCCCUUGAC
rnacentral:lncRNA from 1 species